UUUUUUUUUUUACCAGUUACAUUAUCUGUCUAUUAAAGUAAGAUAAAAUUAUGAAUUAAUUUUGUUAAUAGUAGUCAAAACAUAGGUAAAAUAAAAAAUAAAUAAAAAACUAAAACUAAACUACGCUCUUUUGACAGUAUUUAUGAGAAAAAUUCUGGUGAUACCAAAUGAUUCCGUAUAUUAUCUCAAUUUCGAAUAUUUUAGGAAAUUGUACACUUUUAAUGCGAAAAGACGAUAUGCUAAUAUAUGUAGGGGAGCGAGGGGCUUGUUGUAACAGGGACCGAGCUCCAGGACAUCGAUGAGUUAAGGCGCAGGAAAAUAAUGAAUUAUAAAAUGUUAUUUAACGGACUAAAAA